ACACGACUACAUUAGACUACCCCUGUAGUCCCAGCCCUAAACGAUGCGCGUUAGGUGUAUCGGUGACCACGAGUCACCGAGGUGCCGAAGGGAAACCGUGAAACGUGCCGCCUGGGAAGUACGGUCGCAAGGCUAGAAACUUAAAGGAAUUGGCGGGGAGCACCACAACGGGUGGAGCCUGCGGUUUAAUUGGACUCAACGCCGGGAAGCUCACCGGAUAAGACAGCGGAAUGAUUGCCGGGCUGAAGACCCUGCAUGACCAGCUG
rnacentral:rRNA from 1 species